UCAUUUCCCCAAAAUAAAUAUCAUUUCCUUACUUUCAUGGUCAUCUUGUUUCUGUGGCAAGAUUAGAAUUUUUUAGCAAAACUGAUUGCAGAAGAUGAAUAUAGGAAGGAUUUCGUGACCAUGUAGAAGAAAUCGGUUAUCUCAGUCAGUCUCGUGAUCAUCACCAAAGGUAACACAAUGUGAAAGCCAAUUAGAAGCCAG
rnacentral:lncRNA from 1 species